rnacentral:misc_RNA from 1 species
UAAUCGACGCGUUUUUGCAAGAGAAACAACUUUUCUAUUUGAAAAAAUCAUCGCUCUGUCUUGUGGAGCGAGAUAUAAAUUGUUAAAGUUGAUGACAAUUUAGGUUAGGAAAUCUGUCACAGAGGCGACAGAUAAGCAAGAUUCCGGAUAGGUUUGCAACUUUCCACGCGCAACGAGGACGGGGAAGGGGUCCGAAGACCCCCCUUGCACCCCCCGUGUGUGUGUGUGUGUGUGUGUGUCUGUCAUUCCAAAAAAUAAUACAAGCCGCAAUUUGUGGACUGAUAUCUUAAAUCUUCCACCACAUAUUCCAAAUAGUGCACGUAUUUGCUCUGAUCAUUUUUCAAAGGAAUCUUUCAAUCAAACAAAUGGAUUAUUAAUGCGAUUAAGGCCAGAUACUUUGCCAUUGAAUGAAUGUGAAAAACAUAUAGAAAUGGAAAAAAGAGAGAAUGAUUCCUUUGUUGCAUGCUCACAACCAUCAACAACAGAUAAGGAAACAAUGACAUCGAUACAACCAUGUACAACAGAGAAAGCAACAAUGGUAUCAUUUAAAAGAAUUUAUAAUUCUCCAGAAAAAUGUCGACUGAGGAAGCUAUUAAAAUACCAAAAAGAAAAGUACAUGAAAAAAAUACGAAAUUUGCAGCACAUAGUACGUCGACGUAACAAGCAACUUUCAAUACUGAGAGCAUCCAGUUACAAACGACAACGUGGUAGUGUUCCUUGAUCCGUGCUACAUGCUAAAAUUAAUUCAACAAUUUCGAUCUUGCGAGGAAACAGUACAAUUUCUAUCCAUAUUUAACGACCUCUUUGAUAUUUUAAGUUCAAGAAAUAUGUAUCAACUUGGAUUUAAACAAGCUUUAAAUUUAAAAAAUAUAGAAACAAUGAAAAAAAUUCAAUGAAUGUAAAACGUAUAUUUUAUCGUUAAAAAAUAAAAAUGGCGAAGUAAUCAUUACUUCUCGGCGAAAAACAGGAUUUCUCGGAUUCUUAAUUUGCAUUGAAAGUGUAUUAACAUUAUAUGACGAAUUAUGUGCAAAAAAGAAGUUAUUACAAUAUAUACCAUUGUAUAAUAAGCUAAGUCAGGACCAUAUUGAGUUAUUAUUUGGAUGUUUAAGACAUCAUGGAGGAGGAAAUAAUAAUCCUACUGUUAGGCAGUUUAAAGCUGCCAUAAAAAAAAUCUUAAUUCAUGCAGACAUACGUAAUUCUAAUAGUGGAAAUUGUAUUUCCUUAGAGGAAAUAUCAAUUUUACAUGUAACAUCUGCAAACAAAAUUAGACAGUCUGAAGAGAUUAUUAAUUCCACUUUCAAAUUAGCACGAUUAAGCGAUGAAUCGGAAGAAAAUUAUGAUGUUAUGAAUGAUAAUAAUUCAUUAUUCCACGAUCAUACCUACCUGUCAGAUAUUAGACAAAUUACUGAAUUUUCUAAUAAUGAAAUUGAAUAUAUUGCUGGCUACAUUGUCAGGCAAUUAAGAAGUACUUUGCGUUGCGAAAAUUGUAUUACUGCAUUAUUAAAAAAAACGGAUAAAAAUAAUUUAAUAAAUAGAAAAAAUCGUGGAGGAUUAAUUCAACCUUCCGAUGACGUGUUACUGAUUGCUUGGAAAUGUAAAACUGAAAUUCGUUGUGCUCUUCACGAGAGUAAUAUAUUUAUUAUUAUUAAAAAAGAAAUUUCAUGGCCACUAUUUAACAAAUAAAAUUCUAACAAACUUUAUAGAAACCGAUAUUUUUAAUAAUCUAGAAGAGCACGUUUAUGACGAUUCAGUCAUGGAAAACCAUAUUAUUCAUUUAACUCGAACCAUUGUACAGAAAUAUGUUAAGCUUCGAUUGUAUUAUAUUACUUUAAAUAGUAUCGAUAAAGAAAAAGCAGAGUCAACGAAGUUUCUUUAAUAAAAUUAUUUUAUUUAAAGGACAGUAAAUAUUAAUGUAAGUUUAGUAAUAAGU